UCAGGACACAAUCCAUGACUCUGGGCUCAGUCCUCAAAGCCCUCAUGAAGCCACGUCUCUGUCCCAGCCACACCACCCACCUAAGAGACCCUGAACACAACUGCGUGUCCUCAGCCUGCUCCUUUGUGAUGCUCCCCCUGUUCCUUCUGUGAUCUCAUGACAGCCUCUACACACAUCCACGGUGGUAGUUAGUUACCAUGUUGUCCUGUGGUCCCUUGCCUGGCCGUGCCCUCGCACUCUUGGCCACUUAGGAAGAACCAGCUCUCCCCACCAGUGGAAAGACUGGAAAGAGCUUAAACUAGUUCAGCUUACAGUGAACUUACAUUUGGAUGUUGGCUCUGCCACCUGCUCACUGGGUGCCUUUGGGCCAAACACAAGCUUGGAAUUAGGCAGCCUCCCUGUCUCAGAGCUGCAGAGAAAAGGAGACUGGGACAGAAGAGAUGCAGCCAUGGAGGCAGAGUCUCAGAGCACAGGGAGCAAGCCAAGGCCAAGGCCAGAGAGAUGCUGCCUGGGAAAGAAAGGGGAACGUGGAGGCUUCGGUUUCCACUGAAAUUAUUGGUCUCCGUGGGAGAAAACAGCAGCUUACACCUCACACAGCAAAGGUUGUUAGCUGGAAGAAAGGGGAAAUCAAAAUCAUUAAAAAGCAAGAGAAUUAGAAUUUAAAAUGAACCUGAUUUGAAUAUU